CCUACGGGUGGCAGCAGUGGGGAAUAUUGGACAAUGGGGGGAACCCUGAUCCAGCCAUGCCGCGUGUGUGAAGAAGGCCCUCGGGUUGUAAAGCACUUUCAGUUAGGAAGAACGCCUGGUUGUUAAUACCCAUCAGGAAAGACAUCACUCACAGAAGAAGCACCGGCUAACUCCGUGCCAGCAGCCGCGGUAAUACGGAGGGUGCGAGCGUUAAUCGGAAUUACUGGGCGUAAAGCGCGCGUAGGUGGCUUGAUAAGCCGGUUGUGAAAGCCCCGGGCUCAACCUGGGAACGGCAUCCGGAACUGUCAAGCUAGAGUGCAGGAGAGGAAGGUAGAAUUCCAGGUGUAGCGGUGAAAUGCGUAGAGAUCGGGAGGAAUACCAGUGGCGAAGGCGGCCUUCUGGACUGACACUGACACUGAGGUGCGAAAGCGUGGGUAGCAAACAGGAUUAGAUACCCCUGUAGUC
rnacentral:rRNA from 1 species